GCCACGUUGCGUUUUAUAGGAAAGAUGCCAGAAGCAUCUUCUACUUUUUCUUUUCCUCUUCGUUUUUCUCUCAGUCGUUCCGUUUCUCUUUAGUUUUCCCGUCUGUCUUUUGAUUUCGGUUCCGAUCGGAUCUUCUCGAAGGUGUUUGGCGUUUUUUCCCCUGUUUUGCACAAACGAAUUGCUCCCAUUCAGGAAACAUUUUUCUUCAAGUUUUAGGGUUUUAUUCUUCCUAGCUUUUUCUGGGUCAGGAAAUAUUGGUGUUUGAAGAAAUUAAGGCUUAGCAAAGUGUGACUACCUAUGCUUGAAUUAAUGUUGAAGUUUUGAGCUCAAUUAGAUUAAAGUGCAUAGAACAUCCAUAGAAGUGAUUAAUUUUGGUUGAAAAAAAAAAAAAACUUUGCUGCAUCUCAGUUCCUAUUCUAAUUUUAACUGCCAAGUUAGCUUUCAGCUGUCAAGUUUACAGACAAUUGAUUGUGUUUUUUCCACUCAGCGUGGAUAAGACAAGUAAGAAGUGAUACUCCCAUUGAAAACUUAUCUGCAAAAUAAAUUUUGCUCUGUGGUUACAUGGUGCAUUAGUGCAUAGUUUCACAACUGAACUAUAAGAAAUUGGCUAUCGUAUUUUCUAAAAUUUCAAUUGUUAAAGAAAUCACAAGAGAGUUUGAGAAUAAGCCAGGAUUCAAACCUGAAGAUAGACCUGAUAUAAUUUCUAGAAUCUUCAAAAUGAAGCUUGAUCAUAUGAUUGAUUUCAUCAAGUCCGGGAAGCCUUUUGGAGAAAUUCAAGCAAAAAUACUGAGAUGGAAAAGGUUAAGGAAAAAUUGCGAGGUAGAAAUUCCAUUAUGAGUUCUCCGGCCGAUUUGAGGUUUUGCAUCAUUGGAACAUCAGGCCUAUGUCAUUGCUUUACCUAAGGAAGGAAAAAAAAAUUGCUAAUUCAGCAAGGAGCUUACAGUGCUGACAAAUACAUUUUCAAACAAUGAAGAGGCAAACAUUCAAGGU